rnacentral:rRNA from 1 species
CUCGUAGGCGGCCAACUAAGUCGGACGUGAAAUCCCUCGGCUUAACCGAGGAACUGCGUCCGAUACUGGAUGGCUUGAGUCCGGGAGAGGGAUGCGGAAUUCCAGGUGUAGCGGUGAAAUGCGUAGAUAUCUGGAGGAACACCGGUGGCGAAGGCGGCAUCCUGGACCGGCACUGACGCUGAGUGAGCGAAAGCCAGGGAGCAAACG